rnacentral:sRNA from 1 species
AUCGGGCAUGGUGGUGCAUGCCUGUAAUCCCAGCAGCUCAGGAGACUGAGACAGGAGGAUGUGAGUUCAAAGCCAGCCUCAGCAAAAGCGAGGCUCUAAGCAACUCAGUGAGACCCUGCCUCUA